rnacentral:rRNA from 1 species
AGAGUUUGAUCCUGGCUCAGAUUGAACGCUGGCGGCAUGCUUUACACAUGCAAGUCGAACGGCAGCGCGGGGGCAACCCUGGCGGCGAGUGGCGAACGGGUGAGUAAUGCAUCGGAACGUAUCCUGUAAUGGGGGAUAACGUAGCGAAAGUUACGCUAAUACCGCAUACGCUCGAGAGAGGAAAGUGGGGGAUCGCAAGACCUCACGUUAUAGGAGCGGCCGAUGUCCGAUUAGCUAGUUGGUGGGUAAAGGCCUACCAAGGCGACGAUCGGUAGCUGGUCUGAGAGGAUGAUCAGCCACACUGGGACUGAGACACGGCCCAGACUCCUACGGGAGGCAGCAGUGGGGAAUUUUGGACAAUGGGCGAAAGCCUGAUCCAGCCAUGCCGCGUGCGGGAAGAAGGCCUUCGGGUUGUAAACCGCUUUAAUCCGGGAAAAAGGGGUGCGAGGAUAAUACCCUUGUGCUUUGAUGGUACUGGAAGAAUAAGCACCGGCUAACUACGUG